GACGAACGCUGGCGGCGUGCUUAACACAUGCAAGUCGAACGGAAAGGCCCUGCUUUUGUGGGGUGCUCGAGUGGCGAACGGGUGAGUAACACGUGAGUAACCUGCCCUUGACUUUGGGAUAACUUCAGGAAACUGGGGCUAAUACCGGAUAGGAGCUCCUGCUGCAUGGUGGGGGUUGGAAAGUUUCGGCGGUUGGGGAUGGACUCGCGGCUUAUCAGCUUGUUGGUGGGGUAGUGGCUUACCAAGGCUUUGACGGGUAGCCGGCCUGAGAGGGUGACCGGCCACAUUGGGACUGAGGUACGGCCCAGACUCCUAUGGGAGGCAGUAGUGGGGAAUAUUGCACAAUGGGCGGAAGCCUGAUGCAGCAACGCCGCGUGCGGGAUGACGGCCUGUGGGUUGUAAACCGCUUUCGACUGUGACGAAGCGUGAGUGACGGUAAUGGGUAAAGAAGCACCGGCUAACUACGUG
rnacentral:rRNA from 1 species